GUUUAAAAUUGUUUAAAACUACAAGGUUUCAUUUUUAGUUAAUUCUCAAAAAGCUAAUCUUGGUAUGGUAUUGGGACUCAGAGACAGAUGCCAAAUGAAGGUAAAAUGAGUAUCAUUCAAGUUAAAAUUUUUUAUCAUGUACUAAUUUGUAAAGAGAAAAGGGGGAAUGUUUUGGUGUUUGGAAGAGAAACAGAAUGAACUAGAACAAAAAACAAUAUAUAUAUUACUAUGUGUUUAUUACAAAACCUUUGUCCCUUUUCACCUCAAAAACACUCAUAACACUGAAACUUUCAUUGGCGUUGGCUGUGAAUGAACGUAAGAACACAUUUGUUUUUGGGAGAUAGGAAAAACUUAGCCUCUCAGUCUACUCAUUAAGCUGGCAGGCUAGGGCCUGUACUGUGCUCAGAAGGCAAGUGGAAUAGCAGUGCUGUGUAUGCAUAUGUGUGUCUACAUAUAUAUGUAAGUGUAUGUAUGUGUGUGCAUGUGUGUAUGCAUGAGUAUGUGUACAAGUAUAUUUGUAUAUGUGUGUGUGCGUGUAUCUAAGUAUUUCUGCACAAUGAUACCGUCUCCCUGUCGAAGCAGAGUGGCUUUUACCUGCUGGAGAAAAUUCCUGGCAAGUGAUGACAUCGCUCCUAAAUACGUCCAGGGAUUCUCUAGGGCCAUGUUAAGUGGCAGGGACCAAAGCAGUGUUAGGAAAACUGCUGUCUCCGAAACCCAAUCCCCGCAUCUGCCCUCCCUACGUUUUACCAAGCCAUGUAUAUGCAGCCCUUGGAGUAACCUCUCCAGUGUGCAGGAAGGUGUGAGUCAGAGGGACUGUUCCUACUGCUAGGGAAAUCAACUUUUUACAUGGUGCAUGGCUUCUGAACCCUCUCCUACACAAAUGGAAAAGAGUGGCUGCUUCCUCUUUCCCUUCUGCAAUGUCUUGAAGUAGAGAAUGGAUUUGAGCUUGGGUUUACAAGGACUAAAAUUUGUUCCUUGAGGAGACUUUUGAAAGUGAUUUAUUAAUCCUUGCAUUUAGUCUGAACAGGCCAACACAACCAGGCUAUCCUAUGAUCAAAUUUGUAUUUUGUGUUUUUAUGUAUGUUUGAAGUGAGGACACAUUCUCAUGACCUGGGUAGAUACGUAACAUGCAUUAAUGCUUCUUAGUAUUUUGAACAAUGUGAGUAUAUUAUUAUUUUUAUAAAUAGAAAAAAGUGGUUUUUUGUAGAUUGGGAGAUAAUGUACGUAAAAUAUUUUGCUUGUAAUAACAGAAGACUUGUAAGAUUGUUUUCUUGCCAGUAUGAAAAACUGUUCCUGUCCCAAAUAAAGUAUCAAGUUGUAUAACACAUGAUUUUGUCACGAGUGGCAAGCCCAGGAGGAAAAAUGAAUUCUUUUUCUUAACUCGCAUUCUAUUCAAUAUCCUAAAAGUCUCCUGGUUCCAUUUAGAUUAAUUUACUUACUGUAAAGUUCUCCUCAGUCUUUGAUAUGUCAUGUGUAAGCAGAACAUAUCUAUGCAAAAGUUGACAGUAGUGGUUUAUUAAUUCUUUCUUGCAGACAGAAGAAUGUACAUGGCAAUUAAAGAUAAUUCAGCACUCAAAUAUGAACAAAAGAAAUGUUAAUGUCUAUCAAUAACUCAAGUCAAAGAUAUGAAAAAGAAAAAAAGGAAAUGAAGUCAUUUUCAAGAAGUUUUCUUUUAAUACAGUAUAAAAUUUGUAACAACAUAACCAGACAGGAAAUGCCAACUUCUCAUUAUAAAACUUUCUUUCAUAUUUUAUAUUUUGUUGUGAAAAUUCACUGCUGUUGGAUCCUUGUUUCUGAGAAGCUUAACUGGAAAGAAAUAUUGCUUAUUAAUUUUCAGAAAAUAAAACAACAACAACAACAACAACAAAAAAAAAAACAACAACCCACACUACUGGUCUCAGGAUUUAUUUAAUUUUACACAGCCACAGAGACUGG
ensembl:lncRNA